UGAAUGACUGGGGCAGGCUGCGAGUCCUGCUGGCGUGCUGAUAGCGCCUCGGCUCACUGCAGCCCGUAAACAGGACCGUGUCGCUUCUGCAGUUCAAAAAAGGGCUUUGACACAGUCCUUUUGCUAAUGUUCCUUAUCCUGAGAGUGGGAAGAAGUCCCACCUAUAAUCCUGUCGGGAGACUGAGAGCCAUCAAGUUGCUGUCUCGUGAGCAGUGUUUUUGUUUAACUUCCCAAAAUCCAGGCGCCUUCCAUGGGACUGCUCGCUGACUCCCCGGAGUGCUUCAGACAGAGAGAUGUCCAGCAGCUGUAGAAUGGAACCCUUGAAACUGAAUAUCCUGGUGAAGUUCCAGACCUGAUGCUUUCAGUGUCUUCUCUGCUCUCUGUACGUAACCAAAACUUUCCAUGAUGCUCAUGUGUCAUCCUGCAUACACAUGGGUUGGUGUCUCUGGGGAAGGUACCAAAGAAGAUGCAGACAUGCUGAAGACUUCAGAAAAGUGAGCAAUGAGUCCUUCUGAAAGCUGAAG